AAUUUAUUUUUGGCUGCGUUGGGUAUUUGUUGCUGCACGUGGGCUUUCCCUAGUUGUGGUGAGUGGGGGCUACUCUUUGUUGUGGUGCACGGGCUUCUCAUUGCAGUGGCUUCUCUUGUUGUGGAGGACAGGUUUAGGCACACAGGCUUCAGUAGUUGUGGCACAUGGGCUCAGUAGUUGUGGCUUGUGGGCUCUAGAGCACAGGUUCAGUAGUUAUGGCACACAGGCUUAGUUGCCCCGCGGCAUGUGGGAUCUUCCCGGACCAGGGCUCGAACCCAUGUCCCCUGCAUUGGCAGGUGGAUUCUUAACCACUGCGCCACCAGGGAAGCCCCUGGUUUUUUUGUCAUUGAGCUGCAUGAGCUUCUUGUAAAUUUUGGAGAUUAAUCCUUUGUCAGUUGCUUCAUUUGCAAAUAUUUUCUCCCAUUCUGAGGGUUGUCUUUUGGUCUUGUUUAUGAUUUCCUUUGCUGUGCAAAAGCUUUGAAGUUUCAUUAGGUCCCACUUGUUUAUUUUUGUUUUUAUUUCCAUUUCUCUAGGAAGUGGGUCAAAAAGGAUCUUGCCUUGAUUUAUGUCAUGGCAGGUGGAUUCUUAACCACUGUGCCACCAGGGAAGUCCCCACAAUGUUUCUUGAAUGAUUAUUAACUUACAGUGGUCUCCCAAAGUUCCCUGGGUUUCCCUAUCUGUAAUCCCCUAGUGGGACUUCUACAACUAUCUGUAUAACUAUCCUAUUCCAUCCCUAUUGUUAUCACUCUCUAACAUUUCUUAUAAUUAUUUGUGUACCUACCAGGAGUGCAUGUGUAUGUGUGUGUGUGUGUAUAUAUGUGUGUGUCUCUAAGCUUGAUCUGCCCUAACAAAACAUCAGGCUGGGUGGCUUAAACAACAGAAAUUUAUUUCUCACAGUUCUGGAAGCUGAUAAGUCCGAGAUCAAGGUGCUGGCAGGUAGGAUUCAUUCUGAGGCCUCUUCUCUUAACUGAUGCCUAAUGUCUUCAGAAGCAGCCCCACGAUGUGAAAGAGUUUAUUUCACAGGACAGGGCUUUCCCUGGUGGUGCAGUUGUUAAGAAUCCGCCUGACAGUGCAGGGGACAUGGGAUCGAGCCCUGGUCCAGGAAGAUCCCACAUGCUAUGGAGCAACUAAGCCCGUGUGUCACAACUACUGAGCCUGGGCUCUAAAGCCCAAAAGCCACAACUGCUGAGCCAACGUGCCACAACUACUGAAGCCCACGCACCUAGAACCCAUGCUCCGCAACAACAGAAGCCACCACAAGGAGAAGCCCACACACCGCAACGAAGAGUAGCCCCCGCUCGCCGCAACUAGAGAAAGCCUGCGUGCAGCAACGAAGACCCAACGCAACCAAAAAUAAAUAAAUAAAUUUAUAAAAACAAUAAAGUUCACAGGACGUUAGAAAUAAAAGAGUCUUCAAAUAUCAUCUGGCCCAAUCCCUCUCCUUUUCCAAAUGGGAAAACUAUGGCCAAGAGAAGCACGGCAUUCCCUCCAUCCUCUAACUUACUGAAAGUGUCAAGAUUUUUAAGUGCAAGCAAGAGGAAUCAAAUCCGGCUGUUUUAAGAAGAAAGGCAAUUUAUUAAAGGAUAUGGAACGGUUCGCCUGGAGAUCAAAGCUUAGAGACUACAUAGCUGGAACAAUGCCCCAGAUCGCGCUCUGGAGCUGGUCCCAAGAAGCCACCACUGCUGCCGUGCUGGGCCCGGAGACCACAACCUGAAGCACCUGCAUCCCCCACGCAGAACCCAGAACGCCUGUGUUAAAGCCACAGAUACCGACAGCUCUUCACACGGCGCGUAUCUGCCACCUCUGCUGCCACUCUCUUCCGCAGGGUUCUCCUCAGAUUCUGCAUCUUUCAGCACUUUUCUUCUGGCCGUGAUGCCAUCGCAGGCCUGGCCUGAGCUGCAAGGGAGGCUGGGAAAGGGAGUAACUGAUACUUUCAGAUUUCUGGGUAGGUUCUGCCUCAAAAGGUAGGUCAGAUGCCUCUGACCAAGGAAGGGGGUUCCGAAGCAACGGUAAAUAUCUCCCUCACUGGCUAAACCGCUGAUGGUGCCACCAGGCCCUGAUGAACAAGCACAUGAGCUAGGAAUGGGCUUGAGACUUUGCUCUCUUUACCAUGAAACAGGGCAAUACGAGGCAGCUCUGAGGAAAGGGCAACCCUUCCCACUGCUCCCCCCACUUGCCCCUCCGAGCAGCUAAACACAGCUCAUUCCUUCAGAGAGCGCUUAGAGUUGUCCUGUCCCAGGCUGUGACCUGAGCUGGAAGGCCUUCUGCCCCUCAGCUGCCACCUGUGUGACCCACACGGUCUGACUCCACUGCCACUUCCUCCAGGAAAGCCUGGAAGUUAAUUUGCAAAGGAGCUGCGUUGCAGCCUGAUCCCCUCACGGGAAUUGCUACCCUCUCUGCUCUGGAUGCUCCCACAGGGCUCUGCUUACCUUCCAGGGCGCGUAUCCACCUUGCAGUGUUGUGGCUUGUAAACGCACCCAAAGUUCAAGAGAAACUCCAGAGCCCCCUUUGAGGAGGAAUUAGUGCAGGAAAGACGAGGUGAGGUGGGAGCUUGGAGGCUGGCGCUGUGUCUGCUUCACACUGUACACGAGACUGGGACAUCGUCGAUUUCAUCAUGAAGAUGGGGUUUCAGAGGAGCUCAACGUGCCCCCAGUUCCCCAGCUAUAUCUCCCCUCAGCUCUGCUGCCCUUUUUUGGUAUGGGGCUCCAUCCAGGCUCUGCAGCCAGCCCUCUGUCCUUUCCCGGUUGUGCUGUGUUUGACGAGUGACUUGUCACAUACCUCACGGGGUUGUGCUAAUACUUGUGAGGUGCCAACAACAGGGCCUGGUGCCCUUUGCCCCGUUAGUUGUUUUUGGGGGGUUUAUUUGGCCACGUCGUGAGGCUUGUGGGAUCUUAGUUCCCCCACCAGGGAUUGAACCCGGGCCCUCAGCAGUGAAAGCACCGAGUCCUAACCACCGGACCACAGCCCUGUUAGUUAUUAUCAUCACAGUCUUCCAGAGGGCAGAGGCCUUCUCGGUUCUCUUUUGCACUCCUUGCUUAUAGGAGAGGCCGGUCAAGUCCGUUGAAGUGAGAUCUGGCAGCUGGAGGGAUUUGGGGGGAGGUACAUGCAGUAAAAUCCUGCCCCAGCAAGGAGACUCCUGAGGUUAUCCACCUCUUAGGGCUGUCUCAGGCUUCAGGGGCCAAAAAGGUGGGAGGUGGAGUUCAGACUGACUGUUUGCAAUCAUGUCAAAUAGGUGAUCUUGGAAAGAAAAAAAAAAAUAUUCACCUAGGCCGUAGAACUUCUUUGAUCCUAUUGUGAUGAGAUAUUACCUAGGGCAUGUUUAUUUUUGUGCCAAGAAACCCCUACUUUUGCAAAAAUGGCUGUUCAUCAUAUGCGUCUUUCACGCGCAUAGGGAUUAUCCAGGAUCUUGGUCAAAUGCAGAUUCUGACUCAGUAGGUGUGGAUGAGGCCUGAGAUUCUAUAUUUCUAAUAAACUCCCAGUUGACGCUGUUGCUGCUGGUGCAUGGAUCACACUUUCAGCAGCAAGGAUAUAUAACAUGGGUGAGGAGGGGAAAAAAGGCAUAUCACUUUUUCUUUAAUAUCGAAAAAUAAACAGUUGUCCAGGCCAAGCCCAUUCUAACUUGCAUUGUUUCAAGGUAUCAGUGGCUGUGGAAGAGUUUCUCCGUAAUGUAUUUCCUUAGCCUCCCCCCAACCAGGUGACAAUGGAGUGGCCAUUUAUUACUAUGUAGAAAGGAAAUAUGAAUUAUUUAUCCAAACCUGGUGACAAAAUUAAUCACAGCAAGAUGAGUAAAAGCACUUGGACAGGUGGGGACCAUCAGAUCAGGCGAAUACUAAAAGUGGAUUGAAAGGGUUACGUUACAUUUCUUUGAAUCUACCAUAGACCACUGCAUCCGAAUCAUCUGGGAUGUUUAUUCAAAUGCUGGCUCCCGGGUUCCACCCCAGGUAUAAUGAAUCACAGUCUUUGCAGGGGGCCUGUGAAUCUGAAUCUUUAAUAAGGAAACACCUAUCCAACCAAUUGUUACAUGCAUUAAAGUUCAACGAAUAUGAGUUUAGAGAAUUUGAGGUCUCUGAUAAGACAUUGUAUUGUGUAUUGGGAUGAUCUCACAAUACAUUAAAUUGAUAACGUUUUGAUGGUGGUAGCCCCAAUCCUUACCUUGCCCUAAAAUAUUCUGUGAUUUCAGCAUUGGUUUCUUACCUAAAUCUUGAAGGAAUCUUUGGGUUCAUAUAAAUAUGCUUAGAAUCCACUGAUGAUCUGGUCCUAUUCUUGGUGUUUUUUGUUGAUAUUCAGUAAACACCACUAAUACAUAUGCAAUAUAGCCAAGUCAAUGUUAUUUCCACAAUUUGUACACAUAAUAGAGUAUUGAAUACUUCCCUCCUCUAUAUAGCAAGUAUAGAAUCAAGUAGAUGAAGUAAAUUGCUACCAAAACAUACAGUGAUUUACUUGGAAAUAUUUUCUUCCCCAAAUCCAUGGAGAAAUGAGAGCAUCUAAUAGAGAAAGGAAAAUAAAUUCAUGAUAUCACUACAAUGAAUAGCAUCCCUGACUAAGUGACUGUGUGGGGAGAACAAUAGCCAUUUGGGGGUCUUUUUCAGGCUAAGAUAAGGUGGUCGUCUCUUCGGCACCCGCACUACUGAGCUACAAUUGUAUGUAUAAUUGUGUGGUAUCUUAAAGGCAUUUCUGUGUCGUUUUUAUCAGAGAACAGCAGAAGUUUACCAGAACCAAAAAUACUUUUCUUCACAUUGUUAAGAGGACUUUCAUGCUUUUCACCCAGUCUUUAGAAAAUGAAAAGCUAAUGCCAUGUAAUCACAAUUUCCUGGGAUUCUGAAAAACCAUUAAAGAGGCACAUUGAUGCUCUCUGAAUGGAAACACUGUAGCACGUUUUGGAUUGGCUCUGUUGUGGGAUCCUUGACACUCAUAAGCUCAAAUCAGACUUUUCAAAGGUUCCUUUUGUAUCCAAAACACCCAGACAGUCUGAUUUCAACCAUGCAUGUGCUUCUGGGUGAAUGCAGAUGGUACUUUUUUUUUUUUUUUUUAGGGGGAGAAAAGGAAACUUAAUUAAAGCCAGUAUUAAUUACCUCAAUACUCCAGGCUUGAGAUUAUAAGAACUUCAUUUUUACAUGAGCAUAAAAUGCAAAGUUUUAAAGUUAUAUUGAAUAAAACUAAACUGUUUUCCCUUUCUAGGUUUAGUAAAAACCAACCAAAUACCAUAUAAAAUGAGCUUUAUUAGAAGCAGGGAUAAGCAGGAAGUUUUCUGGUCCCAUCAAUAUUUAAUUUAAAGACAAAAUAACAUGCUGUGUUACUAGAUAUACUAGACUGUAUUUUGAAACCACGUUAUUCUUCUUAAGCCACUGAGAUAGCCUCCUCCUCCUUAUAUCUUCAGAUAUAUCUGUGAAGUAUAUGAUUGUAUAUAGAGUCCUGAGGCAGUUUCCAAGAGCCUGACUGAUUCCUAGGAAAACAGUUGUUCAAACACAAAAUUGGUUUGUGGAGUUCUCCCAGAUAUGUGCAACAGGCACCAUCAUUUAUGAAUGCUUAUUGCAUACUGAGCAGUGCACAGGGAAACCCACCCAGUGUCAGACACAAAGUGAGUAAAUAGCGUGGCAUGGGAGAUGUCAGCUCCACGUUUCUGGGUAAGGGAGAUGUUUUUGGUCCUUUGAACAGGAAGUGACCCUUGCUACCAAAAGGGACAUCAAACCCCUUUGAAGAUCAAGGGCACGAAGCAGUCAGGUGGGAGAGACAGAGAGCUGCAGCCCCAGCCUGCCAUGCUCUGGGUGGAUAAGCAAGUUCAUAACAGCCUGAAACCAGAAUUAAUAUUUUGACAGGAAUAACAUGAAUCACCCAGAAAAGGAGUGCUUCAGAACAGGGCAUGCUCCACAGCCAUUCUUGGAAGGAUAAACCUGCAGGAUAUUAGAGUUUGUGGUAUAGAUUUCAUUCUGGAGUUCAGUAAUUUUCAAUAAAUCUUUUCAUGACCUUCAUGAAGGUCAAAGAUCACCUUUAAGGUAUCAUGUGUAGAAAAGUGGACAGGGUUCAUCUAACUUGAACAAGAGAAAUUGCCUGGAGAGGAUGAAACCUCCCUUACCAACUUGGGUAAGACCCGUUUUGGUCUGGGUAUGCUACAUGUGAUUCUAAUGUGUGUGAAAACUUGAAUACGUUAUCUUGAAUUAGAUAGUCAAAUAACCAGGUUUUGGUUACGUAGGAUCCACCACGGUUUUGUGAAAAAGAAAUGAAUGACAGGGGCUUCCCUGGUGGCGCAGUGGUUAAGAAUCUGCCUGCCAAUGCAGGGGACACGGGUUCGAGCCCUGGUCCGGGAAGAUCCCACAUGCCGCAGAGCAACUAAGCCUGUGUACCACAACUACUGAGCCUGCGCUCUAGAGCCUGCGAGCCACAACUACUGAGCCCACGUGCCACAACUACUGAAGCCCAUGAGCCUAGAGCCCGUGCUCCACAACAAGAGAAGCCACUGCUUCGCAUCGCAAAGAAGAGUAGCCCCACUCUUCGCAACUAGAGAAAGCCCGCGCGCACCAACGAAGACCCAAUGCAGCCAAAAUAAGUAA